UAUUUAUUAAGUUUGACGACUGUGCCAAUCGUCUGAGCGAGUGGAGGGCGGAGCCAGACGAAACGAGCGGUAAGAAACACCUGCAGCUGAUGAGACUAAUCAGGGCGCUCUGUUUCAAUCCGGCGAUGCCAAUAAAGAGGAGAGAGAUGCCAACCUUCGGGAGAGCGCCACCAAGCAGAGAAGAGCGGAAGGGUCACUGAAUGGUGACUAAGCGCGUGCGGGCACCGGGGAAAAGACCAGCUGGCGAGUGCACUCGGACGGACGAUAGGAAAAGGCGAGCAAGCACUAGGUGGAACCAGUGAGUUUGCUACAAUGACAAAUCAAAAACUUAUAAACAAUAAAAUAAAUCUGAUUUCCAAAGCAAUAUUGGGUGGAAUCAGAAAUCGAACAAUUUCUACUAUCAAAGCAUUCCUUGUCCAAUCUGAGUAACAGAAGGCUACUCCUUUGUUUCCCUUACAAAUCUGCUGUGUUAGGUUCAGUUGAGAGCACAAUCAUGCUGGAGCUGUGGACAGCUUCACCCGGGGAAGCAGCGAUAAGCAGGAUCAGUCACUUCAGCGAGAACAGUGCAUGUUCUCAGUGAAAAUCAUAGCAUCUGUGUUGGCCUAGAAGACAAUGAUGCUCUGUUUUCCUGCUUGAUUCUUCCCGCCACAUGUAAACAAAGCCUCAUCUGUCCUGAAGUACUUCAACGUAAAGAUAAAGGAACCUCCAACCACUUCGAACUCUCCCUCUCCUCAUCAUUACCUAUGACUCAGAUCUCAGCUGAAGAUGUAUACAAUGACUUAUACAUUCUUGCUUCUUUGCAUUGCAGGCAUUUUUGGCCUAGUGACCUUUAAAAACCCUGCGUUCUUUCCUGAACUGACCUGCUCAUGGUCAAAUAUUCUUGUUUUUAAAUUGUAUAAUUUAUAUUAUUAGUAGUGAUUUGUGUGAAUAGUGAAACCAGCAAUUUAGAUUUUGAUCAGGGUUAAAUAAGUCCACACUCUCUGAAUGAACAUUAUAUUAACAUCUGUGGCUGAAUAAUUUAGUGUUGUAAAUGACUCAGCAGUACUGUCUAGGGUUAUAGGUUUAGGGUUUUGAGACAGGGUCAUUUCUCAGUAGCUAAAUAGGACAUGCUCCCAGCAAUCAUAAUCAAAUUCAGUUCCACAUUAUUGCAGUUCUUUUAAACUGUAGCUUAUUCUCACUCCAACCAUUAUACAAACUGAGGAUAUAAUAAGGUUAUGUCCUUGAGUUAAAAGAACCUGUGUGCAGUCCACCGAUGAGUGGGCGUGUCUUUGCAUGGUACAGAUUAUUGUGUCAUUGAGCUUAGAUUCCAAACACAUCCUUUAAACAAUUCUAAAUAAGCAAUGACUAGCAGUGAUACAUGCUUUAUAAAUUGCGUCAGCUUUACAUGUCCUUACCUGGCCUCAGUGCUGCCAGCUAACACUGUUGGUCCUCUCUGCUUUGGGGUGGUGUUAAAUGGCUGAUCCUGUUCUUUGACCUUAGCUUCUUAUUUACACUAUGCAAAAUAACGAUUUCUUCAUCAUCACCAUCUUCUUCCUUUUCUUCUUCUCCUCUAAAUAUUAUUGUUACAUUAACUCCUGUUAGUUACCCAGAUAAAAAAAAAUUUCUUACUUUUUUCCUUCCCAUUUUCUCCUCAGUUUUGUGAGAGUACAACUAAUUUUGCUCUCCCUACUCCUGACCAUGAUUAAACAAAUGAAUCAUUAAUAAAAAGAAGUGUAACCUGUA